AGUGAACGCUGGCGGUAGGCCUAACACAUGCAAGUCGAACGGCAGCACAGUAAGAGCUUGCUCUUACGGGUGGCGAGUGGCGGACGGGUGAGGAAUACAUCGGAAUCUACUUUUUCGUGGGGGUUAACGUAGGGAAACUUACGCUAAUACCGCAUACGACCUACGGGUGAAAGCAGGGGAUCUUCGGACCUUGCGCGAUUGAAUGAGCGGAUGUCGGAUUAGCUAGUUGGCGGGGUAAAGGCCCACCAAGGCGACGAUCCGUAGCUGGUCUGAGAGGAUGAUCGGCCACACUGGAACUGGGACACGGUCCAGACUCCUACGGGAGGCAGCAGUGGGGAAUAUUGGACAAUGGGCGCAAGCCUGAUCCAGCCAUACCGCGUGGGUGAAGAAGGCCUUCGGGUUGUAAAGCCCUUUUGUUGGGAAAGAAAAGCAGCAGGUUAAUACCCCGCUGUUCUGACGGUACCCAAAGAAUAAGCACCGGCUAACUUCGUG
rnacentral:rRNA from 1 species